rnacentral:rRNA from 1 species
AGAGUGAACGCUGGCGGUAGGCCUAACACAUGCAAGUCGAACGGCAGCACGGUAAGAGCUUGCUCUUAUGGGUGGCGAGUGGCGGACGGGUGAGGAAUACAUCGGAAUCUACCUUUUGGUGGGGGAUAACGUAGGGAAACUUACGCUAAUACCGCAUACGCCCUUCGGGGGAAAGCCGGGGACCAGCAAUGGCCUGGCGCUGAUAGAUGAGCCGAUGUCGGAUUAGCUAGUUGGUGAGGUAAUGGCUCACCAAGGCGACCGAUCCGUAGCUGGUCUGGAGAGGAUGAGUCAGCCACACUGGAACUGAGACACGUCGACGACUCCGUACGGGAGGCCAGCGAGUAGGGGAAUAGUUAGGACAAGUGGGACGACGAACGCCUAGACGUCCAACGUCCGAA